GCCGGGUGCGGUGGCAUGUGCCUGUAAUCCAAGUCACUGGGAGGCUGAGGUUGGUGGAUCAAGUGAGCUGAGGAGCUCUGGGCUGCAGCACUCUAUGUCGAACGGGUGUCCACGCUAAGUUCGGUAUCGAUAUGGUGUUCCUGGGGGAGCCCGGGACCACCAGGUUGUCUAAGGAGGGGUGAACCGGCCCAGGUCGGAAACGAAGCAGGUCAAAUCCCCUGUGCUGUCCAGUAGUGGGAUAAUACCUGUGAGUAGAUGCUGCAGUGCAGCCUUGGCAAAACAUCGAGACCUAAUCUUUU
ensembl:misc_RNA Metazoa_SRP Metazoan signal recognition particle RNA